rnacentral:lncRNA from 1 species
AUGAUCCCCAAUUCACUUUUGAAAGCUGUACUUGUCUACUCGCCAGAUCAAAAGCUUCCAAAACAUUUCCCCCAAAUUUCUCUAUCUGCAUUUUCAAAUUUCUCUCAACUUUUCCUCUCAUCUGCGUUCUCUCCUGAGUGGUGUAGAUGAAUCGAAGAUAACAAUCAAAGGGAAGAUGACGAUCGACGUUAAAUUGAAGGUUCAGUAGGUCUGGCCGGUCUUUCGUCACCCUUGGAGAGUUGUUCAUCUCUCUUGGUCGUGUUUUGGCCAUCCGAGAAGCAGUGGUCUAUUAGCCUUCAAUGGGUGCUGAAGAGUUCUAGGGCUUGAUGGUGCUUUUGUAGAGAAACUGACUAGCAAUAUGUGGAAAACGACACCAAUCUGUGUUUUUGGGUGGUGUUUUGAUGCUACAAAAAGCAGAAUUUUGAGACCUUAAGAAGCUGUACGUUUUUUGCGAAUCUUUAUUAUAACUAUUUAUAUCGAGAAAUUAAAGAUUACAAGUAAAGGUCAACUACCGACAUCUAUUUUGAAAUCACGGGCUGCGAAUUUUCUAGAAUGUGCUCGUGUUGUGAUACCGUGCAAGACGGAGUUGUAGCUGACCCUGGUAAUACUAAAAUGAGGUCAGUGAGGUGAGUGAUCUGCCAGCAUUUCGUGAGUAUUCUGUUGAACAACUAAGAACGGCUACAUCUGGAUUUUCUAUCGAAAAUAUUGUGUCUUGAACAUGGAGAAAAAGCCCCUAAUGUGGUCUACAAAGGGAAGUUGGCAAAUCAAAGAAGAAUUGUUGUCAAACGGUUUAAUAGAUCUGCUUGGCCUGAUGCUAGGCAGUUUCUGGAAGAAGCAAGAGCGGUUGGCCAGCUUCGAAACCCUAGAUUAGCUAAUCUGCUUGGCUGCUGUUGCGAAGGUGCCAUCUCAUGUAUUAAUGGGCAUCACACAAGGCGGGUCGGCUAUGCCUUUGACUGCACUUGGAGAAGCCUAUUUUUCAUGCCUUGAUACAACCUCCUAAACCAUGUUAUCCAAAGUUCUGGAUUGUCAUUGUGAUAUUAAUGGUUUUAUUCACAUGUAAACUACCGGAUCUGAUUAAGCUUAAUGGCAUUAAUAUUAUCUUAAUCUUUAACAAAAGUUAUGAUGUUUGCUUCUGGUUUCUAGGGUGUGAAGAAAAAAAGAAGAGUAAAACUGAAAAAUACUUGAAUUGGCAGUUGGUCAAUGAGACUAAACCUAUAUGAGUAGGUUAAAAUACUUUAAAUAAUAAUCGUACUCACUUAUUUGUUUCAGAGUUUGUUAAUUAGAUGAUUAAAAUACCGACGAGGAAUCCAAAGGAAGUUGAAAAAGAUCAAUAAAAUGAAUUCUACAAGAAGGCAUUCAACGAGUUUCAUGAUCCUCUUGCAUACGUUCACUUCACAACUAAGUUUGUGCAGGGUAAAGUGGGAUUUAGAAGUGUAAUCUACAUCCCUUGAAUGGUACCAAAGAACAAUGAGGAUGUAGUAAAUCCUAAGACAGAAUAUACAUUUACGAAAGCCCAUCUUUGGUCCACUGUGUUGUUUAUGCUGGGGCAGGGUGGUUCCCACUGUUUAAUUGGCUCCGAGGUUUGUUUAAGAGUAUUGGACCGGGUUUGUGGGAUGGCCGUCAACUAGAAUGAGUAUGGCAGUUGUUUUUUUAGCUUCGUGUUUGUUGGUUUGCCCAUGGAUUCCCCGUGAUUGGAUUCCGGUUAUGCCAUCCCGAAUUUGGCCCCCGUUGUCUGGUGUGAAUAUUACUGUUUUAUU